UACAGAGGGUGCGAGCGUUAAUCGGAAUUACUGGGCGUAAAGCGUGCGUAGACGGCUAUCUAAGUCGGGUGUGAAAGCCCCGGGCUCAACCUGGGAAUUGCAUUCGAGACUGAAUAGCUAGGGUACGGUAGAGGGAAGUGGAAUUUCCGGUGUAGCGGUGAAAUGCGUAGAUAUUGGGAAGAACACCGGUGGCGAAGGCGGCUCUCUGGCCCGCAACUGACGCUGAGGCGCGAAAGCGUGGGGAGCAAACAGG
rnacentral:rRNA from 1 species